AGAGGGUGCGAGCGUUGUUCGGAAUUACUGGGCGUAAAGCGCGCGCAGGCGGCCCUUUAAGUCCAUCGGUCAAAUGCCGGAGCUCAACUCCGUGCGUGCCGAGGAUACUGGAGGGCUGGAGACACGUAGAGGCAAGCGGAAUUCCGGGUGUAGCGGUGAAAUGCGUAGAGAUCCGGAAGAACACCGGAGGCGAAGGCGGCUUGCUGGGCGUGAUCUGACGCUGAGGCGCGAAAGCGUGGGGAGCGAACAGGAUUAGAUACCCUGGUAGUCCACGCCGUAAACGAUGGGCACUAGACGCUGGUGGGAUCGACCCCUUCGGUGUCGCAGCUAACGCGAUAAGUGCCCCGCCUGGGGAGUACGGCCGCAAGGCUG
rnacentral:rRNA from 1 species